rnacentral:rRNA from 1 species
UGCAUCGGAAUCUGCCUCGUGUGGGGAUAACGUAGGGAAACUUACGCUAAUACCGCAUACGACCUACGGGUGAAAGUGGGGGACCUUCGGGCCUCACGCGAUGAGAUGAGCCGAUGCCGGAUUAGCUAGUUGGCGGGUAAAGGCCCACCAAGGCGACGAUCCGUAGCUGGUCCUGAGAGGAUGAUCAGCCACACUGGAACUGAGACCACGGUCCAGACUCCUACGGGAGGCAGCAGUGGGGAAUUUUGGACAAUGGGCGCAAGCCUGAUCCAGCCAUUCCGCGUGAGUGAAGAAGGCCUUCGGGUUGUAAAGCUCUUUCGCAAGGGAAGAAACGAUAGUGACGAAUAAUCACUGUUAAUGACGGUACCUUGAUAAGAAGCACCGGCUAACUACGUG